AGCGAACGCUGGCGGCAUGCUUAACACAUGCAAGUCGCACGGGCAGCAAUGGCAGUGGCGGACGGGUGAGUAACGCGUAGGAACGUGUCCUGAGGUGGGGGACAACCCCGGGAAACUGGGGCUAAUACGGCAUAUGGGCUGAUGCCCAAAGCCGAGAGGCGCCUUUGGAGCGGCCUGCGUCCGAUUAGGUAGUUGGUGGGGUAAAGGCCUACCAAGGCUGCGAUCGGGAGCUGGUCUGAGAGGACGCCCAGUCACACUGGGAAUGAGGCCCGGCCCAGAACGCGACGGGAGGGAGCAGUAGGGAAUAUUGGACAAUGGGCGAAAGCCUGAUCCAGCCAUGCCGGGUGGGUGGAGAAGGUCUUCGGAUCCUAAAGCCCUUUCGACCGGGACGAUGGUGACGGUACCCGUAGAAGAAGCCCCGGCUAACUUCGUG
rnacentral:rRNA from 1 species